AUGGCGACAGUGACAAGUGUCACGAACAUGUAGAUGUUCGAAAACAAAAAAUAUAUUGAAAAUGAACAAAGUUAAAACGGUCCGCGUUGCCCGAAUAAAAUCAUUCAUAUAAAAAUAAAAAAUACAAUGAGCCGGCACGAGAGCGGAGAACAACAGCAGUACCACAGCAGGCACCACUAGAAGCACCAGCAGUCCGACUAACAGGAGAAUUACCAACGAUAGCAGCAAACAACAUAAGCAGCAACGGACCGGAUUUGGAAAGCCUGGAAUACGUACUGAGUGAGUAGAGCGACCACAAAGAAGAAGCACAUAAUAACAAAACCGGAACCAAGAUGCCCAACAGACUGCCCUGGACCACUGGAGUCGGCGCACUGCAAAUACACAUGUUGCAAGGAGACCAGCACUGGCGCCACAACCGCCUGUAAGAUGACCAGCACCGACGCCCCAACCGCCUGCAAGAAGACCGGCACAAGCACCUCCGAACCCGCAACAUAAAAAUAUAAUAAUACAAAAAAAAAUUGUAACAAAAAAAAAACCAAUGAAAUGUAAAAGAACCCUUUGUAAUACUGAGCGAUAAUUGCGUUGCUCGUAAUAGAGUAUGGCCUGUGAAGCCAUACGAAGCAUUAGACAGGAGAUCACUGCGUUGAUCAAAUAGGAAUAAACUGAUAUAAAAUGAAAAGAAAACUUUUUAAGUAAUUACUAAUAA